rnacentral:rRNA from 1 species
AACGAACGCUGGCGGCAGGCUUAACACAUGCAAGUCGAACGCAUCCUUCGGGGUGAGUGGCAGACGGGUGAGUAACGCGUGGGAACGUGCCCUUCAGUUCGGGAUAACCCAGGGAAACUUGGGCUAAUACCGGAUACGUGCGAGAGCAGAAAGAUUUAUCGCUGAAGGAUCGGCCCGCGUCUGAUUAGCUAGUUGGUGGGGUAAUGGCCCACCAAGGCGACGAUCAGUAGCUGGUCUGAGAGGAUGAUCAGCCACAUUGGGACUGAGACACGGCCCAAACUCCUACGUGAGGCAGCAGUGGGGAAUAUUGGACAAUGGGCGCAAGUCUGAUCCAGCCAUGCCGCGUGAGUGAUGAAGGCCUUAGGGUUGUAAAGCUCUUUCGUCCGGGACGAUAAUGACGGUACCGGAAGAAGAAGCCCCGGCUAACUUCGUGCCAGCAGCCGCCGUAA